CUUUUUUAGUGUCUAUUCUAAUAAAAUAUAGUGUGCAGAUUUACACAAACCAUCAUGAAGCUAAAGAAAGAAAAUUGUUGUCUUCAGUUGAUUGUUACAGUGUUACUAUAGAUUGGGCAGAGAAUGGGAGACAAAAGUGGAGUCAAACCAGUUCUACUCCAAGAUUGUAACCUAAGGAUUAUCCACAGAGGGUUUGCCUUCCAUCUACCGAGGAUAUACCAGGAAAGUGUUCUAACAUUUUGGAGGACCUUCAGCUCUCACUGCAGACUCUGCUGGUUCACUGAUCUUUAAGGAUGUAAGUUGAAAUAUCCCCUCUUCAGCCAGAGAAAACUUUUCUCUGUCCACCUCUGUUUCCAGCCUCUUCCUCUGCUUCCCCCA